rnacentral:rRNA from 1 species
AAGUCGAACGCACAGCGAAAGGUGCUUGCACCUUUCAAGUGAGUGGCGAACGGGUGAGUAACACGUGGACAACCUGCCUCAAGGCUGGGGAUAACAUUUGGAAACAGAUGCUAAUACCGAAUAAAACUUAGUGUCGCAUGACACAAAGUUAAAAGGCGCUUCGGCGUCACCUAGAGAUGGAUCCGCGGUGCAUUAGUUAGUUGGUGGGGUAAAGGCCUACCAAGACAAUGAUGCAUAGCCGAGUUGAGAGACUGAUCGGCCACAUUGGGACUGAGACACGGCCCAAACUCCUACGGGAGGCUGCAGUAGGGAAUCUUCCACAAUGGGCGAAAGCCUGAUGGAGCAACGCCGCGUGUGUGAUGAAGGCUUUCGGGUCGUAAAGCACUGUUGUAUGGGAAGAACAGCUAGAAUAGGAAAUGAUUUUAGUUUGACGGUACCAUACCAGAAAGGGACGGCUAAAUACGUGCCAGCAGCCGCGGUAAUACGUAUGUCCCGAGCGUUAUCCGGAUUUAUUGGGCGUAAAGCGAGCGCAGACGGUUUAUUAAGUCUGAUGUGAAAGCCCGGAGCUCAACUCCGGAAUGGCAUUGGAAACUGGUUAACUUGAGUGCAGUAGAGGUAAGUGGAACUCCAUGUGUAGCGGUGGAAUGCGUAGAUAUAUGGAAGAACACCAGUGGCGAAGGCGGCUUACUGGACUGCAACUGACGUUGAGGCUCGAAAGUGUGGGUAGCAAACAGGAUUAGAUACCCUGGUAGUCCACACCGUAAACGAUGAACACUAUGUGUUAGGAGGUUUCCGCCUCUUAGUGCCGAAGCUAACGCAUUAAGUGUUCCGCCUGGGGAGUACGACCGCAAGGUUGAAACUCAAGGAAUUGACGGGGACCC